AUCAAUGUUUGUCAGAUGAGGACUCUCACCCUGACCUCCUGACUGCUCAAUUUGAUCAUCAUUUGUUUGAGCUUCUUCCGCACCCUGACCUACUGACAGGUCAAUUUGAUCAUCCUUGGUCAGAGCACCUUCCUGACCCUGACCUUCUGACAGGUGAAUUUGAUCAUCCUUGGUUACAGUUUGUUCUUCGGCCUGACCUUCUGACAGAUCAAUUUGAUCAUCCUUGGUUACAGCUUCCAUGUCAUCACUUCCA
rnacentral:lncRNA from 1 species